CGUAGGGUCCGAGCGUUGUCCGGAAUUAUUGGGCGUAAAGAGCUCGUAGGCGGUCUGUCGCGUCUGCUGUGAAAUCCCGAGGCUCAACCUCGGGCCUGCAGUGGGUACGGGCAGACUGGAGUGCGGUAGGGGAGAAUGGAAUUCCUGGUGUAGCGGUGGAAUGCGCAGAUAUCAGGAGGAACACCGAUGGCGAAGGCAGUUCUCUGGGCCGUAACUGACGCUGAGGAGCGAAAGCGUGGGGAGCGAACAGGAUUAGAUACCCUGGUAGUCCACGCCGUAAACGUUGGGCGCUAGAUGUGGGGACCUUUCCACGGUUUCCGUGUCGUAGCCAACGCAUUAAGCGCCCCGCCUGGGGAGUACGGCCGCAAGGCUA
rnacentral:rRNA from 1 species